CAGGUCUUGACAUCCCUUUGACCGGUCUAGAGAUAGAUCUUUCCUUCGGGACAGAGGAGACAGGUGGUGCAUGGUUGUCGUCAGCUCGUGUCGUGAGAUGUUGGGUUAAGUCCCGCAACGAGCGCAACCCUUAUGCUUAGUUGCCAGCAGGUCAAGCUGGGCACUCUAAGCAGACUGCCGGUGACAAACCGGAGGAAGGUGGGGAUGACGUCAAAUCAUCAUGCCCCUUAUGACCUGGGCUACACACGUACUACAAUGGCCGGUACAACGGGAAGCGAAGGAGCGAUCUGGAGCCAAUCCUAGAAAAGCCGGUCUCAGUUCGGAUUGUAGGCUGCAACUCGCCUACA
rnacentral:rRNA from 1 species